CAGCCGCCGCGGUAAUACGUAGGGUGCGAGCGUUAAUCGGAUUUACUGGGCGUAAAGCGUGCGCAGGCGGCCCGUUAAGACAGGUGUGAAAUCCCUGGGCUCAACCUAGGAAUUGCGCUUGUGACUGGCGGGCUCGAGUACGGUAGAGGGGGGUGGAAUUCCUGGUGUAGCAGUGAAAUGCGUAGAGAUCAGGAGGAACACCGAUGGCGAAGGCAGCCCCCUGGGCCUGUACUGACGCUCAUGCACGAAAGCGGGGGGAGCAAACAGGAUUAGAUGCCCUGGUAGUCCACGCCCUAAACGAUGGGUACUAGCCGUUUGGUGCGCGAUAGCGCUGAGUGGCGAAGCUAACGCGUGAAGUACCCCGCCUGGGGAGUACGGCCGCAAGGUUGAAACUUAAAGGAAUUGGCGGG
rnacentral:rRNA from 1 species